CGAUUAGUAUGGCCCCUGCUCAAGGAUGACAUGCAAAUUCAUAAAAUAUUCCAUAUUUUA
rnacentral:snRNA from 1 species